AUGCAUCCGGAGUUGAAGGCCUACUUGGAUGAUUACCACGCGCGGACCAUGGCGCGCUACGACACCGUGGACAAGCAGCACGAGCUGAUGUGGAAGAUCCUCACGAGCGACCCGACCCUGCAGCCGGCGUGCCCCAUGGGAACGGCAACCGAUGGCAGCCUCACCGACGACGCCAGUGUCCUGGCGGUCGUCCCCGACAUCUUCUCCGCCACCACCCAGGCCCAGGAGCCCCUUGCAGGCUCCCAUGAUGCACCCUCGGUCUGCAUCAAGAGGGUGCCCGUUACCUGUUUGACGGAGUGCCUGGCCCAGGUCGCCUCCAUCGCCAGCGUCGACGAGGUCCACGAUGCCACCACAGCUGCCAACCCCGAGCCCGUGGACGACCUCAUCCACCACGAGGUCGCCUCCGAGAUCGUCACCCCAGUGGCAACCACCACCGCGGUUGACCCCAAGACCAGCAUGAAGGUGUUAGGUUGA
rnacentral:rRNA from 1 species